CUGAGCCAAACUACUGGAAGGCCAGUGGCUGAGGGAAUCCCAGCAGGCAGCUCAUCUGAGCCAGUCACCACCAGGACACAAGUGUCUUCAUAACAUACUCUGAGGGACGUCUCCACCUGUUGGAGCCUCAUGUAGCCCAACUCCAGCCUGUUGAUAAUGAAGAUGAAGACACUGUGUCUGCUGUCACAGAAAGGC